GGAGGGAUCAUUAACGUUUUUUGUGAAGUCCACAAAUGAAAAAAAAUAGAGCUGGAAUUUUAGGCUGAGCUUAGUUAGGAAGGAAUAACAAUGCGCGCUGGUCGAGUUUGAUGAUUCACGAGUGUGUGUUGCCUUUUGACGCUAAAUAAAUCCUUUUAUUUCCGUUCUACACAACGUGCAGUGUUAAAGUGCUGUAACUUUAUCAGCGAUAAAGUUUACAACUAGCCACAAAUUUUUUACCGUUCAAUUUACUGGGCUUUAUGCUUCAUUUUUUUGUUUCUGCUUGCGGAAAAGAAAAGUGUAUGCAUCGAGAAAAGAAAUUCUUAAUUAAAAGACAACUUUUAACAACGGAUAUCUUGGUUCUCGCAACGAUGACGAGCGCAGCGAAAUGCGAUACUUAGUGUGAAUUGCAGAAUUCAGUGAAUCAUCGAGACCUUGAACGCAUAUUGCACCUGCAGCUCACUGCAGGUACGUCUGUUUGAGUAUCAAGUAAUAAUCAGCAACUCAAAAUUCGUUUUGUGUAGCUUGGAAAAUCAAUGAGUCGUUCGUGCUAAGUGCACGAUCACUUGAAAAAUAGAGUUUGAAUUUAAAAGUGAUAGCGACUGAAAACUCGUGUUGCAGUUUGUGCCUCUGCUUUGCAGGCAACAGAAACCACAAGUUAGUAAUCGCCUCGAAUUCACUUUGUUUCGAACGGACAAAAUUCAGGAAAUCGAGCAAAGAAGUUGCAUGAAUUUGCAACGACAGUUUGAUCUCAAAUCAGGCGAGAAUACCCGCUGAACUUAAGCAUAUUAAUAAGCGGAGGAAAAGAAACCAACUGGGAUACCCUCAGUAACUGCGAGUGAAGUGGGAGAAGCUCACGCUUAAAAUCUGCAGCAGUCUAUGUUGCUGAAUUGUAGUUUUGUGAACAGCUUCACGGGCAAACUGCCUUGAUAUAAGUCUUCUGGAAGGAAGCGCCUAAGAAGGUGAUAGCCCUGUGCAUGAUCAAGGAGUACUGGUUUGUCAACACGUGCUGCUAGUUCAAAGAGUCGGGUUGUUUGGGAGUACAGCCCAAAGUGGGAGGUAAAUUCCUUCUAAAGCUAAAUAAUGGCGAGAGACCGAUAGCGAACAAGUACCGUGAGGGAAAGAUGCAAAGAACUUUGAAAAGAGAGUUAAAAGUGCUUGAAAUUGUUAAAAGGGAAGCGAUUGGAAGCAGUACGUGCUUGUUGUCAACUCAUUUAUUGGUGCGGUGUUGUGAUGGCGUAGUGAGUGGUUCAUCGUGACUAUCUCUGCGUUGUUUACUGGCGCCGUAUCAGUGGAGCAUUUUGGCAGCGUAGCGAGUCAGUGUCAGUGAGAAGAGUGGGAUAAUAGGUUGGAGGAGGUGAUAUGCUAGCAGCUCUCGGGUUGUUAGUGUGUGUUAUAACUCUGAUCGAAUACUGUUUUUUUCACUGAGGCGAUCCAUGAUCGAUAACUAGCGCCUUUUUGGCGGAGUAAAAGUGGAGCUGUGUUGGGCUAACGGUGAGGACAGCUUGCUGUGCUUGUCGAUUAGUCUGGCUCAUUAUCUGUUUUCUACCAGCUAGUUAGUGACAUUGACCGAAUGUUUUCAACCGUCCCGUCUUGAAACACGGACCAAGGAGUCUAACAUAUGUGCGAGCGAAUGAGUGGCAAGCUUAGGCGCGUAAUGAAAGUAAGUGGUGGGAGUCGAUUAAAAGAUGCACCAUCGACCAAUUUUGAAAUAUUUGGAUAGAUUUGAGUUGGAGUAUAUAUGUUGGGACCCGAAAGAUUGCGAACUAUGCUUGCAUAGGGUGAGGCCAGGCGAAAGUCUGGUGGAGGCUCGUAGCGAUACUGACGUGCAAAUCGUUCGUCAAAUGUGGGUAUAGCGGCGAAAGACUAAUCGAGCAAUCUAGUAGCUGGUUUCCUC
rnacentral:misc_RNA from 1 species